rnacentral:rRNA from 1 species
AGGACGAACGCUGGCGGCGUGCUUAACACAUGCAAGUCGAGCGGUAAGGCCCUUCGGGGUACACGAGCGGCGAACGGGUGAGUAACACGUGAGCAAUCUGCCCUCCACAUCGGGAUAACCCCCCGGAAACGGGAGCUAAUACCGGAUACGACCACUUCAGGCAUCUGAUGGUGGUGGAAAGUUCCGGCGGUGGAGGAUGAGCUCGCGGCCUAUCAGCUUGUUGGUGGGGUAACGCCCACCAAGGCUUCGACGGGUAGCCGGCCUGAGAGGGUGACCGGCCACACUGGGACUGAGACACGGCCCAGACUCCUACGGGAGGCAGCAGUGGGGAAUAUUGGACAAUGGGCGAAAGCCUGAUCCAGCAACGCCGCGUGAGGGAUGACGGCCUUCGGUUGUAACCUCUUUCAGCAGGGACGAAGCGAAAGUGACGGUACCGUGCAGAAGAAGCACCGGCCAACUACGUGCCAGCAGCCGCGGU